rnacentral:piRNA from 1 species
UAAAUCUAUGAUAAUCUUACCUGGCUUUA